ensembl:lncRNA
GGGUUUUGUCCACAGUUGCCAGCCCCUUUGUGGAUUUGGCUCUGAUUCUUGCUUCUUUACUUUCUUAUUUUCUUUUCCCUCCUUCCUUGCCCCCCUCCGUCUGUCCCUUCUUUCCUGCCUGCCUUGUACACCUACAGCGUCCCUUGUUACCUGCCAGAGUGCACAUCCUGCCAGCCAUUCCAGGGCAGGAACUGAGGCCCCAGGGACAGGACUCUGCACCCGAGUCCAUGUGUCCACCUGGGGCCCCGGGGCGGGGCGAGGGUGGAGCAGAGCUGAAGCGGCGGUGGGGGUGGCUGCAUCUCUUGGGACAGCUCUGUCCUGGGAGCCCAGCCUGAGGGGAGAGACAGCCCUGGCCUGAGGGCUCUAUUAAGGGAGGAGAUACCACAGUGUUCCAAGGAGCCCCAGCCUAAGUGGUGGGGACGGGUCCAAAGCUCUACCCCAGGCCUCCUGUCCGGGAGACAGUGCUACCACCCGUCACAAUUGUUCACUAAGCCCGUUGCAUUCUUUGAUAGGAAUAUUGAUGGCUAAGAGCUGAGGGCAAGGAAGCCAGGGUAGGGUGUGUAAGCGAGUGUGGUGGCUGCCUGCACCCCUUGAGGAGACUGGAACGGGGCCCACUCCACUGUGGUUUCAUCCAAGUGGCUCUUCUGACCCCACAGUUCCCCUGCAGCCAGCUAAGUCUCCUGGGCUGGGCUGCAACCAGGCAGGACUUUUCAAGCAAUCACCUGGAAAAUGCUCUCCUGGGCCCCAUGGAGAAGGGUCUUAGGCAAAGCCCUGGAAUCUAGGUUUCAGUUGAACUCCCAAGGGGACACAGAGUCAGGAAUCAUUUCUAGUAACACGGACUACUACUCUCUCUGGGUCACAGGUGGGGAAAGCGGUCCAGGAAGUUGCUGAUGGUCGCAUCAAGUCAGGCACUGUGUCCAGACCUUGAGCAGACCAGGGGCCGUGUCCAGUCCUGAGGAUUCGGGGCCAGUGGGGAGCGGGGAACGUUCUGUACCUGGCUCUGCUCCGCCCUCUGUUGGCUGGGCCCAGACCUGCCUUGGCCUGGCUUCUCUCCGCCCAGGUGGCCCCACUAUGUGCGGCCUCUUUCCUUUUACUAAUAAAAGGAGGCAGGUGCUCAGGUGAGCCUUCGGUUUGCUUGCGGCCCUGCCCCCUGGCUGCCCUUCUGGCUCCACAGCUCAGUACAAACAGCCGAGGGUCCCAACCCACUGGUUUUGCAGCCAGGAGUUAAGCCUGCAAGAAGGGGAAAUGGAGCAUGUGUUCCCACCUGAUGGAACAUGCCUCUGCUGACCCCAGAGGCCCCUCUAGAGGUGGGAGUGGUUGCCUCAGCCCCUGGGGCCACCCCCCAACCCUGCCUGCUGCCCCGUAGGCCUGGCCCCAGCUGAGGAAGCAGAGCUUGCCACCUGCUGGCUCUGAGGACACAUAGACGCCAGCUUCCAGGGGGCCUGUCUUCCCCAGCCCCGUCUACCAGCACCCUGGCAUUGCUAAGCCCCACAGGUGGCAUGAAUCCCAGCCGCUAUACCUGGUCCCCACCGGCUCUGCCUGCUGCUUCUAGCCCGAAUUUGCCCCCAGCUGCGCAGAGAUGUGUGUCUGGGUGCCCGCAUUGCAGCACUGCAGCAAAGGGUGCCUGGCCUGCCUCGAGGAGACCUCUCCCUGCUCGGCUGAUGCCACGUUCUGUGUACCGGCGUGCUUUCCACGCAGCCCCAGCAGGUCUCCCUGUUUCCUUGUGGCCCCGAGGCUGACCUCCCUGAUGUGGGUCCUAAGCUUCAGCUGGGCCCACCCUGAGGCUCCUGCAAUACUUCCUCUCAUGCUGGUCUUCCUCCCGGGGACCCUUCUGGAGUUUGAUGACACGGACUUCAGUGAGGGAGAGCCCAGUGCCCCUUCCCCCUUGGCUCUGUGGCUGGGGAACCCACACCAGGCCCUCAGACCAGUCUAGAUCCACAGCCUCCUGCUUUUUGACUGCUGGCCCAUCCACAACCUGGACACUGGAGCCCCUGGGCAUAGAGGUAUAAUGACCCCCAGGACAUCACAAGCAGAGCCUACCGGCACCAGGCCCUGGCUCUCAGGGUUUAGCCAGGCAGUGGGAGUGUCCCUGGGCAGAGGGCUCAGUCCUGAGGACCCAGCUGUCCUUCUGCCUUGGCUGUUGGGGCCCCCAACUCGACUCAUUCAGGAGUCCUGGAGACCACCGCAGGAGGCUGUAGCCAGCAGCAGGGAGUGCCUGGUGUUUCUGUCCCUCUUUUUUGGGUGUGAAGGGCUGGGCGCUUUGGGGGGACUACAAGUCCCCUCUGGUCAGACUUGUGGGACCGCCCCUGUCCCACAGGCAGGUCUGAGCAGUCCAGGCCCAAAGACAGAGGGACUCUGCUCUUCCCUCGAGCAGAGUCCCUCUGUCUUUCCAGCCGACCAACAGGCCCAAAGCCCUGGUAUUGGUUGGGUGGCCUGUGUCCCAUUCCACUCUGUCCCUGGCUCCAGUCCUGGCCUGGAAUGUGGGUACCUUACAGUUGGAGGUCACAGAUGGCAGGUUGUUACAGCAUGGCCUGCCUGUACCCAGGGCCUGGCCACCAAGGCUCCCAUGCCCUUCUCCACUUC